GUAGGUGAACCUGCGGAAGGAUCAUUAACACGUUUAACCCACGUUAUUCAUCAACCUCGCGAACUUAUCAGUUUUGGGUUUAAUAGAGGGAUAGACGACUUUUUCUUUGUUCUUUCGAAAGAGAGACAAACAAAAGUGAACUUCCUUCUUUCCCUUAAAACUGUUGUGUUUUGUCAUUUUUUGACAAACCUUAAUCACCCCUUUUAUAAAUUUUUUUGUGUGGAGAGUUGGAAACAACUCCCUCUCAAAAAAUUUAUAUGUGAUUUUUUUUUCUAUUCAAAGAUGCUUCCUAAUGGGAGCUAAUCUUUUAAUAACAAACUCAAAACAACUCUUAGCAAUGGAUAUCUUGGUUCUC
rnacentral:misc_RNA from 1 species